rnacentral:rRNA from 1 species
AGAGUUUGAUCAUGGCUCAGAUUGAACGCUGGCGGCAUGCCUUACACAUGCAAGUCGAACGGUAACGCGGGGCAACCUGGCGACGAGUGGCGAACGGGUGAGUAAUGCAUCGGAACGUGCCCAGUAGUGGGGGAUAGCCCGGCGAAAGCCGGAUUAAUACCGCAUACGACCUACGGGUGAAAGCGGGGGACUCGCAAGAGCCUCGCGCUAUUGGAGCGGCCGAUGUCAGAUUAGGUUGUUGGUGGGGUAAAAGCCUACCAAGCCGACGAUCUGUAGCUGGUCUGAGAGGACGACCAGCCACACUGGGACUGAGACACGGCCCAGACUCCUACGGGAGGCAGCAGUGGGGAAUUUUGGACAAUGGGCGCAAGCCUGAUCCAGCCAUGCCGCGUGCGGGAAGAAGGCCUUCGGGUUGUAAACCGCUUUUGUCAGGGAAGAAACGCUCUGGGCUAAUACCCUGGGGUAAUGACGGUACCUGAAGAAUAAGCACCGGCUAACUACGUGCCAGCAGCCGCGGUAAUACGUAGGGUGCAAGCGUUAAUCGGAAUUACUGGGCGUAAAGCGUGCGCAGGCGGUUAUGCAAGACAGAUGUGAAAUCCCCGGGCUCAACCUGGGAACUGCAUUUGUGACUGCAUAGCUAGAGUACGGUAGAGGGGGAUGGAAUUCCGCGUGUAGCAGUGAAAUGCGUAGAUAUGCGGAGGAACACCGAUGGCGAAGGC